rnacentral:rRNA from 1 species
GAUGAACGCUGGCGGCGUGCCUAAUACAUGCAAGUCGAGCGAACGGACGAGGAGCUUGCGCCUCUGACGUUAGCGGCGGACGGGUGAGUAACACGUGGAUAACCUACCUAUAAGACUGGGAUAACUUCGGGAAACCGGAGCUAAUACCGGAUAAUAUAUUGAACCGCGUGGGGCAAUAGUGAAAGACGGUUGUGCUGUCACUUAUAGAUGGAUCCCCGCCGCAUUAGCUAGUUGGUAAGGUAACGGCUUACCAAGGCAAGGAUGCGUAGCCGACCUGAGAGGGUGGUAGGCCACACUGGAGCUGAGCCGCCGUCCAGACUCCUACGGGAGGCAGCAGUCGGGAACCUUCCGCAAUGGGCGAAAGCAUGACGGAGCAACGCCGAGUGAGUGAUGAAGAUCUUCGGAUCGUAAAACUCUGUUAUUAGUGAAGAACAAAUGUGUCAGUAACUAUGCACGUAUUGACGGUAACUAAUAAGAAAGCACCGGCUAACUACGUG